UACGUAGGGGGCAAGCGUUGUCCGGAUUUAUUGGGCGUAAAGAGCGUGUAGGCGGCCAAGCAGGUCCGCUGUGAAAACUCGAGGCUCAACCUCGAGACGCCGAUGGAAACCAUCUGACUAGAGUCCGGAAGAGGAGAGUGGAAUUCCUGGUGUAGCGGUGAAAUGCGCAGAUAUCAGGAAGAACACCCGUGGCUAAGGCGGCUCUCUAGUACGGUACUGACGCUGAGACGCGAAAGCGUGGGGAGCGAACAGG
rnacentral:rRNA from 1 species